UACGUAGGGGGCGAGCGUUGUCCGGAUUUAUUGGGCGUAAAGAGCGUGUAGGCGGCCAGGUAGGUCUGCUGUGAAAACUCGAGGCUCAACCUCGAGACGUCGGCGGAAACCAUCUGGCUAGAGUCCGGAAGAGGAGAGUGGAAUUCCUGGUGUAGCGGUGAAAUGCGCAGAUAUCAGGAAGAACACCCGUGGCGAAGGCGGCUCUCUGGGACGGUACUGACGCUGAGACGCGAAAGCCAGGGAGCAAAGCGGG
rnacentral:rRNA from 1 species